GCAGAGUGUUCAUCAAGAAAACACUCUACGCAUAACAUAAAGUAUACCUUCCUUUCUUUAUAUUCGACAGUAUUUUCUAGCACAUUCUCAAGCAUCGCUUAUUUCAAUGUUUCUCAACAAAAAAUAUAAUCGUCGGGUUUGUCAUCUUCGUCAUCGCUUUCCUCGGAAUCGGAUUCAGGAAGAGGUUGUGGCGUUGCUCCAAGUCUGACUAGUUCCCUCGCAAGUUGUCCAUCCAAGCAAAGUGCAAUUUGAUAAGCUGUAAUGCCUGCGUAUGUCGGGGCAUUCAAACAAGGCCUGCAUUCGUGCAGUAGGAAGGCUAUUACCGAUCGACGACGUCCUUCAACAGCAAGAUGAAGGGCAGUUUUGCCUGAGAGCGCUUCGCGUGCCUCAAGAUCAGCUCCGAGUCUUAGCAACAAACGGACAAGCUCAACCUGACCACCGGAAGCGGCUAUAUGCAGACACAUCUCUCCUGAAAAAAUAAAUAAAGGCGUCGAAUCAAGAUAUAAACUAAUUGGAAAAUAAAAAAGGCUCCAACAAAGGAACUUUUGUUGCUGGAUCUUUACAAUCUUCGUUAACAGUUACACCACUAUUUCCAUUCAGUAUUGUGCAUCAAACAUUUAAUAUUAGUAAAAAUAAUAUAAGAAAUAUUAAUUGGAAAAAAAAAAAAAAAAAAAAAAAAAGAAAAGAAAAGAAUAAUUAAGACCGCAAGUCGUUAUUUUUUCCUUCUUUGGUAUAGACUUUAAUUUGAGACACCUCUCAUAUGUUUUUUCCAAGUGGUAUUAACGAGAUACGCAAAAAGAUAAAAGCCACGUCACCCGUUGGCUGAUCGAGCAAUAAUUAGAGAAAUAACGAAACAUCGUGGAUACAUCAUUUUCGACUUAAUUUGUAAAAAGGUGGAUGGGGAAAGAAUCCAGAAAAAGGGAAGAAGAGUGUAGAUUUAAUUUGGAACGAUCGCGUGACAUGCCUUUAGAAGAUAUAGAUAGAACUAGGAAGAUGCCGGUGAAUCAUUGUCGACGGAGGUUUGGCCGGAGUCCCGGGGUCCAAACUAGGCUUGUACCGAUCAAAGUGACCACUAAAAUUAGAUCUUCCCGACGACGACGACCGGCGCGCGCGGUGCAUUGGCGGAAUUAAAUCGAAAAACACAUGAGACUAUAUAUACAUAUGUGCGUAUGAUAAAACAACAAUCGAGGAUAAAGAUAUCUCAUGGAAACUACGUUGAGUUACGUAUAUUUGCGAGGUAUAUUUACACUUAACGUACAAAGAUUUAUCUUCGUAAACAAAAUCAACAGAAACAAAAGAAGGAAAAAGUGAUAAUAAAUUGUUCGCUUGAAAAUAUGAAUGCACCCGCAUAAUUGAUGUUUACGUCAUUAAAAACUGUUUAAUAAAUCAAACAUCUGAUCACAUUCCGUCUCUUUAUCCUCAUGGAGACAUUUCAAAAAAUGUUGACUGAAAUAAUAAGAGCAGUGAUUCGGUGCUUCUAUUCUUAAAAUUAGAAUGAUACACUUUGAUGAUCCACCAUCGUCUACACCAUUGUGGGGUUUUCCAAAGCUGCCAACCGAUGCGAGAAUAGCGUGGCACGUAAAUAGUCUAACAAGUAUUUUUAAAUAUCAGAAAACAUCUGCUUCUUUGCCUUCUGUCUCAUAGACCCCCCCCCCUCUCUCUUUCCAUGAUGUAACGCACGCGCUCCCUUCACGAUAUGUCACACACACAACACACACACACACACACACACACACACAAGAUACCAUAGAAACAUUCUUCCUUUAUUUUCAAAUUUACAAUGAAAACUAAAGUAAGCAAGAUAAAAACUGGAAAGAAUAUUCUUAUUGCAGUUCUAUUACAAUUAAUAUAUAAGUUUAAUUUGAAUGAAAAAUAAAUGUAAUAUUACUUGAAAAUAAAAUAUGUUACGUAGGUAUAUAUUGUUAAGUAAAUAUGUGUCCUCAAGAGGAUAAAGUCGAUGAGCGUUAAAAACCGAAAAAAGCUGAUUAAUCGGCUAGCGGUCAAUAAAGUGUAAAAUAAAAGAAA
rnacentral:lncRNA from 1 species